AUUUAUAUAGUUUAUAAAAACAUUAUAUUUUCAAUAUAAAAAUAGACCUCAAGUCUUAUAAAUU
rnacentral:tRNA from 1 species